rnacentral:rRNA from 1 species
UACAGAGGGGGCAAGCGUUAUUCGGAAUUAUUGGGCGUAAAGGGCGCGUAGGCGGCUUUGCAAGUGGCGGGUGAAAUCCCUCGGCUUAACCGAGGAACUGCCUGCCAGACUGUGAGGCUUGAGACCGGGAGAGGUGAGUGGAAUUCCCCAGUGUAGCGGUGAAAAUGCGUAGAUAUUGGGGAGGAACACCAGUGGCGAAGGCGGCUCACUGGACCGGAACUGACGCUGAGGGCGCG